AACUGAUCAACAUUGAUGGCUCUACUAGUCUUUAGACCAUUAAAGCAUACGGGUGUAAGUUAUCGUUUUGUUUUGGGAAGUCAAGAUUGAUGGCUCUGCUAGUCUUUUGACUUUUAAAGGAUGUGGGUGAUAUUUUGUUAAAAUAUCUUACAUCGACAGUGUAUCUGAGAAGUGGAUCUCCUUGACCCCAUACGAUGAUGGUGGGUCGCUUGGCCCUGCGUGUAUGGUGAGUUCUCUUGUUUCCACGUAGUUGUUGAUGUGUGGAUCUUCCACUUGUAACUCACUAAUUAGGUCCCACGUAAGGGAGCGUCUAGAAAUAUCCCACAUCAACUAUAUCUCUAAGAAAAGAAGAGUUAAAAUAUCCUAACCAUACUUCAACUAAUAGCGAAUUAUUUUGUGAUAAAACUCCACACCUGACAGAUUGUGCUGAUGGUAUUACCAAGUCAGGACAAUAUUAAUGUUAUAAGAAAUAAGCCUAUGACCAGUCUCUAAUUCGACACAUUUUACCAACCGUGGAUGGAUAUUACGCUGUAACUUGUUCACAAAAGAUGGAAGAAUUCCAUGCCUGUCAACCUCUUUUAGAUAUUGUUUGAAAUGUGGUAGGCAAUUAGAUAUUGUUUGAAAUGUGGUAGGCAAGGGACCAUCCAAAUUGCUUGUCUCAUCAACAUAUAGAUUAUUUGCGCUUUGAAUGGGAAAGAAAUAUUAUGGGGA